UACGGAGGGGGCUAGCGUUAUUCGGAAUUAUUGGGCGUAAAGGGCGUGUAGGCGGCUUCGUAAGUCUCAUUGUGAAAGCCCUCGGCUCAACCGAGGAACUGCAUGGGAAACUGCGGAGCUUGAGUCCGGGAGAGGAGAGCGGAAUUCCCAGUGUAGCGGUGAAAUGCGUAGAUAUUGGGAGGAACACCCGUGGCGAAGGCGGUUCUCUGGGACGGUACUGACGCUGAGACGCGAAAGCGUGGGGAGCGAACAGG
rnacentral:rRNA from 1 species